CAAAUUUCAAACAAGGAUAACAUAAAAUUAUCACCCUCUCCUCGAAGCAGCGACUUCUCAUAAUAGGGUUUCUUUUCCUAAAUAUUUUCCAAAAUCGGUCAUAUCGAUCAAAGAGGGGUUUAAAUGUUUUAGAAAUCUCUCAAAAUACUCUCUUCUACAGAAGCACCUGCGUUGAUUUCAAACGAUUAGCCGAAAAUCUUGUCUAAUCGAAGCUCUGUUUUCACGAUUUCAAAGAACAUACAUGGGGGUGCAAGGUAUGCUUAUUGAUUCUUAAUCUUAAACAUGCAUGUCGGAUUUUGGGUUGUUAAAGCUAAACCCUAGGUUUUAUUUCGACAAAUGUUCAUAUUGUUUUGUUGUUGAAGGACUUCGAAAAAGCAGCCAAAUAAGAAAUCGAGUGGUGGGAACUGGAGUAACACUAUAGACAAUCCUCUUAUCGUUGAUCAAAAUGAACCUAACGUACUACUUGGCCAUUCAGUUUCAAGCACAACUUUGAUGAAAGAAACAGAAGCGCCUGCGUUGAUUUCAAAGGAUUAGCCGAAAAUCUUGUYUAAUCGAAGCUCUGUUUUCACGAUUUCGAAGAACAUACAUGGAGGUUUUGUAGAAUGUUCUUCCCUUAUMUGUUUGAGUAGCUAGGUUUCAUCUUUUUAUUAUCUUAUCUAUUUGAGUAGUUAUGCAUGUUCUUCGAUUUCAAAAAAGAGAAGUAUGUAUGAUCUUGGCUUCUUCAUGUUCUUGUUGCCUAUGAGGCUAUGACUUUGUUUUGACCUUGCUUUUCUUGUAGUAUCCACAUUGUCAUCAAGAUUAUAAAUUUAUAAUGUAAUGUUUAUACGGUUAUUGUUUUUAAU